AUUGAACGCUGGCGGAAUGCUUUACACAUGCAAGUCGAACGGCAGCACGGACUUCGGUCUGGUGGCGAGUGGCGAACGGGUGAGUAAUGUAUCGGAACGUGCCCAGUCGAGGGGGAUAACGUAGUGAAAAUUACGCUAAUACCGCAUACGAUCUAUGGAUGAAAGCGGGGGAUCGCAAGAACUCGCGCGAUUGGAGCGGCCGAUAUCAGAUUAGGGAGUUGGUGGGGUAAAGGCCCACCAAGCCAACGAUCUGUAGCUGGUCUGAGAGGACGACCAGCCACACUGGAACUGAGACACGGUCCAGACUCCUACGGGAGGCAGCAGUGGGGAAUUUUGGACAAUGGGCGAAAGCCUGAUCCAGCCAUUCCGCGUGCAGGAUGAAGGCCCUCGGGUUGUAAACUGCUUUUGUACAGAACGAAAAGGUUUCUACUAAUACUAGGAGCUCAUGACGGUACUGUAAGAAUAAGCACCGGCUAACUACGUGCCAGCCGCCGCGGUAA
rnacentral:rRNA from 1 species